rnacentral:tRNA from 2 species
GGGAAUAGCUCAGUUGGUAGAGCGCAACCUUGCCAAGGUUGAGGUCGCGAGUUCGAGUCUCGUUUCCCGCUCCA